GAUGAACGCUGGCGGCGUGCUUAACACAUGCAAGUCGAGCGAGUGAGUUCUUCGGAACGAUCUAGCGGCGGACGGGUGAGUAACACGUGGGCAACCUGCCUCAUAGAGGGGAAUAGCCUCCCGAAAGGGAGAUUAAUACCGCAUAAAAUUAUCGAGUGGCAUCACAUGAUAAUCAAAGGAGUAAUCCGCUAUGAGAUGGGCCCGCGGCGCAUUAGCUAGUUGGUGAGGUAAUGGCUCACCAAGGCGACGAUGCGUAGCCGACCUGAGAGGGUGAUCGGCCACAUUGGGACUGAGACACGGCCCAGACUCCUACGGGUGGCAGCAGUGGGGAAUAUUGCACAAUGGGGGAAACCCUGAUGCAGCAACGCCGCGUGAGUGAUGAAGGUCUUCGGAUUGUAAAGCCCUGUCUUUGGGGACGAUAAUGACGGUACCCAAGGAGGAAGCCACGGCUAACUACGUGCCAGCAGCCGCCGUAA
rnacentral:rRNA from 1 species